UUCUUCUUCUUCUUCUUCUUCUUCUCCUUUUUUAGUCUGCCUUGUCAGGGUUUGGGAUGGGUCAUGACUCAAAUCAUCUUGUCCCUGUGUGUCCAACUUGACGCAUGUGUGUCAGACACACAUCCUGUGUUGUGUUGUGUCCACGCAGGUAUGGCACAGUAAAUGGAAGAGUCCAAGUAUCAGAGCCAUGCAAGGUAGAGAUAUGGAAAAACAAACCCAGAAGUUGCCUCGGG
rnacentral:misc_RNA from 1 species